rnacentral:misc_RNA from 1 species
GAUGAAGAACGUAGCGAAAUGCGAUAAGUAAUGUGAAUUGCAGAAUUCAGUGAAUCAUCGAAUCUUUGAACGCACAUUGCGCCCCUUGGUAUUCCGAGGGGCAUGCCUGUUCGAGCGUCAUUAUAACCCCUCAAGCUCAGCUUGGUGUUGGGGCCUGCUGCACUGGCAGCCCUUAAAAUCAGUGGCGGCGCCAUCUGGCUCUAAGCGUAGUAAUUCUUCUCGCUAUAGAGUCCUGGUGGAUGCUUGCCAUCAACCCCCAAUUUUUCUAUGGUUGACCUCGGAUCAGGUAGGGAUACCCGCUGAACUUAAGCAUAUCAAUAAGCGGAGGA